CCUACGGGUGGCAGCAGUGAGGAAUAUUGGUCAAUGGGCGCUAGCCUGAACCAGCCAAGUAGCGUGAAGGAUGACUGCACUAUGGGUUGUAAACUUCUUUUAUAUGGGAAUAAAGUGCAGUAUGUAUACUGCUUUGCAUGUACCUUAUGAAUAAGGAUCGGCUAACUCCGUGCCAGCAGCCGCGGUAAUACGGAGGAUGCGAGCGUUAUCCGGAUUUAUUGGGUUUAAAGGGUGCGUAGGUGGUUUUUUAAGUCAGCGGUGAAAGUUUGUGGCUCAACCAGAAAAUUGCCGUUGAAACUGGAAGACUAGAGUGUGGUUGAGGUAGGCGGAAUGCGUGGUGUAGCGGUGAAAUGCAUAGAUAUCACGCAGAACUCCGAUUGCGAAGGCAGCGUACUAAGCCAUAACUGACACUGAAGCACGAAAGCGUGGGGAUCGAACAGGAUUAGAUACCCCGGUAGUC
rnacentral:rRNA from 1 species